UACGGGGGGGGGCAAGCGUUGUUCGGAAUUACUGGGCGUAAAGGCUCGUAGGCGGCCAACUAAGUCGGACGUGAAAUCCCUCGGCUUAACCGGGGAACUGCGUCCGAUACUGGAUGGCUUGAGUUCGGGAGAGGGAUGCGGAAUUCCAGGUGUAGCGGUGAAAUGCGUAGAUAUCUGGAGGAACACCGGUGGCGAAGGCGGCAUCCUGGACCGACACUGACGCUGAGGAGCGAAAGCCAGGGGAGCAAACGGG
rnacentral:rRNA from 1 species